rnacentral:rRNA from 1 species
GAUGAACGCUGGCGGCGUGCCUAAUACAUGCAAGUCGAGCGAACGGACGAGAAGCUUGCUUCUCUGGUGUUAGCGGCGGACGGGUGAGUAACACGUGGAUAACCUACCUAUAAGACUGGGAUAUCUUCGGGAAACCGGAGCUAAUACCGGAUAAUAUUUUGAACCGCAUGGUUCAAAAGUGAAAGACGGUCUUGCUGUCACUUAUAGAUGGAUCCGCGCUGCAUUAGCUAGUUGGUAAGGUAACGGCUUACCAAGGCAACGAUGCAUAGCCGACCUGAGAGGGUGAUCGGCCACACUGGAACUGAGACACGGUCCAGACUCCUACGGGAGGCAGCAGUAGGGAAUCUUCCGCAAUGGGCGAAAGCCUGACGGAGCAACGCCGCGUGAGUGAUGAAGGUCUUCGGAUCGUAAAACUCUGUUAUUAGGGAAGAACAUAUGUGUAAGUAACUGUGCACAUCUUGACGGUACCUAAUCAGAAAGCCACGGCUAACUACGUG